rnacentral:tRNA from 1 species
UAGUUUUGGGUUCCCUGGAUUUAGUGUUCAGCCACAAUUAGAAUAUACGGAAUUAUGUCCGGGGGGGGGGU